rnacentral:lncRNA from 1 species
CUGUUUUAAGACUGGUCAGUUUUACGGUGAGGGAGAAAGAGGACUGGGUAAGACGGUCAGUUUACGGGGAGGGAGAAAGAGGACUGUUAAGACUGGUCAGUUUACUGGAGAGAAAGAGGACGUUAAACUGGUCAGUUUACUGUGGAGGGAGAAAGAGGACUUUUAAACCUGGUCAGUUUUUACUGUGGGGGAGAAAGAGGACUGUUAAGACGGUCAGUUUCUUACUGUGGAGGGAGAGAGAGGACUGUUAAGACUGGUCAGUUUACGGUGGAGGGAGAAAGAGGACUGUUAAGCUACCUGUCCAACAUGGUCCUAGUGGUCCUCAGUCCCCACUACCUUCUCAACAUGUCCUAGUGGUCUCAGUCCCAGCUACUGUCUCAACAUGUCCUAGUGUUCCUCAUCCCAGCUAACUGUCUCAACAUGUCCUAGUGGUCCUCAUUCCCAGCGACCUGUCUCACAUGUCCUAGUGGUCCUCAGUCCCCAGCACCUGUCUCAACAUGUCCUAGUGGUCCUCAGUCCCCAGCUACCUGUCUCAACAUGUCCUAGUGGUCCUCAGUCCCCAGCUAACCUGUCUCAACAUGUCCUAGUGGUCCUCAGCCCCCAGCACCUUCCAACAGGUCAGAGUGGUCCUCAGUCCCCCGCUACCGUCUCAACAUGGUCUAGAUGGUCCUCAGUCCCCAGCUACCUGUGUCAACAUGUCCUAGUGGCCUCAGUCCCGA